UACGUAGGGCGCAAGCGUUGUCCGGAAUUAUUGGGCGUAAAGAGCUCGUAGGCGGCUUGUUGCGUCGGUUGUGAAAGCCCGGGGCUUAACCCCGGGUCUGCAGUCGAUACGGGCAGGCUAGAGUGUGGUAGGGGAGAUCGGAAUUCCUGGUGUAGCGGUGAAAUGCGCAGAUAUCAGGAGGAACACCGGUGGCGAAGGCGGGUCUCUGGGCAACAACUGACGCUGAGGAGCGAAAGCGUGGGGAGCGAACAGG
rnacentral:rRNA from 1 species